AUGAGAAAGAUAAGCCAAACUUCUCUCAAACAAAGAAAUAAAAAAUGUAAAGAUGAAUGUCCCUGUGUUCACCCACCGCGGGAAGGAUCCCUGAGUGUGAUCAGCAGGGAGUGUGUUCCCCCGCCGUGGGAAGGACCCCUGAGUGUGAUCAGCAGGGAGUGUGUUCACCACACGGGAAGGAUCCCUGAGUGUGAUCAGCAGGGAGUGUGUUCCCCCGCCGCGGGAAGGACCCCUGAGUGUGAUCACACAGGGAGUGUGUUCACCCGCCGCGGGAAGGACCCCUGAGUGUGAUCAGCAGGGAGUGUGUUCACACACCGCGGGAAGGACCCCUGAGUGUGAUCACGCAGGGAGUGUGUUCACACACCACGGGAAGGACCCCUGAGUGUGAUCAGCAGGGAGUGUGUUCACCCACCGCGGGAAGGACCCCUGAGUGUGAUCAGCAGGGAGUGUGUUCACCCACCGCGGGAAAGACCCGAGUGUGAUCACGCAGGGAGUGUGUUCACCCACCGCGGGAAGGACCCCUGAGUGUGAUCAGCAGGGAGUGUAUUCACCCACCGGGAAGGACCCCUGAGUGUGAUCAGCAGGGAGUGUGUUCACCCGCCGCGGGAAGGACCCCUGAGUGUGAUCAGCAGGGAGUGUGUUCACCGCUGGAAGGACCCUGAGUGUGAUCACAGGGAGUGUGUUCACCCACCGUGGGAAGGACCCCUGAGUGUGAUCAGCAGGGAGUGUGUUCACCCACCGUGGGAAGGACCCCUGAGUGUGAUCAGCAGGGAGUGUGUUCACCCACCGCGGGAAGGACCCCUGAGUGUGAUCAGCAGGAGUGUGUUCACCGGAAGGACCCCUGAGUGAUCGGCAGGAGUGUGUUCACCAUGGGAAGGACCCCUGAGUUUGAUCACGCAGGGAGUGUGUUCACCUGCCACGGAAGGAUCCGUGAGUGUGAUCACGCAGGGAAUAUGUUCGCCCACCAUGGGAAGGACAGGCAAGUGUGACUACGCAGGCAAUACUCUUUGUAUGCAACCAGGAGCUCUCAUGCAUUAUUUGUUGGAGAGAAAACUAGUCCAACUUCUUUGGAAAGUUAUCAGUAAAAAUCUCCCAAAACUAAAAAUGCACAUACCCCAGGACCCUACAGAUUCUCUUCCAGGAACUUAUCCUACAAGGAUUCUAACACAAGCAUGAAAUGGCGUUGAGGAUGACUUGGCUUGUAAGAGCAAGGUUGAGAAAGCUCCUGUGUACCAGUCCAUAGUACACAGUACCAUGGGUGCCUUUGAAAGGAGGGGG
rnacentral:lncRNA from 1 species